rnacentral:rRNA from 1 species
ACUCCUACGGAGGCAGGCAGCAGUGGGGAAUAUUGCACAAUGGGCGCAAGCCUGAUGCAGCCAUGCCGCGUGUGUGAAGAAGGCCUUCGGGUUGUAAAGCACUUUCAGCGAGGAGGAAGGUGGUGAGCUUAAUACGCUCAUCAAUUGACGUUACUCGCAGAAGAAGCACCGGCUAACUCCGUGCCAGCAGCCGCGGUAAU